CUUGCAGAGGCUCUUGACCUGGGACUUGGAUAGCUACUUUCACUGGUUCAGCUGCUUGAUCCACUGGUCCAGCUCCUUGGAGAA
rfam:Macaca mulatta chromosome 1, whole genome shotgun sequence.